rnacentral:misc_RNA from 1 species
AGCAGCCGCGGUAAUUCCAGCUCCAAUAGCGUAUAUUAAAGUUGUUGCAGUUAAAAAGCUCGUAGUUGAAUUUCGGGACCAAUUUGUUGGUCGUGCCUCGGUACGUACUGGUAUUAUUGGUUUCUCCCUUCUGAAGAACCUCGAUGCCAUUAAUUUGGUGUCGUGGGGAAUCAGGACUGUUACUUUGAAAAAUUAGAGUGUUUAAAGCAAGCAUACGCUUGAAUACAUUAGCAUGGAAUAAUGAAAUAGGACGUUUGAUUCUAUUUUGUUGGUUUCUAGGAUCGACGUAAUGAUUAAUAGGGAUAGUUGGGGGCAUUAGUAUUCAAUUGUCAGAGGUGAAAUUCUUGGAUUUAUUGAAGACUAACUACUGCGAAAGCAUUUGCCAAGGAUGUUUUCAUUAAUCAAGAACGAAAGUUAGGGGAUCGAAGACGAUCAGAUACCGUCGUAGUCUUAACCAUAAACUAUAGCCGACUAGGGAUCGGAUGAUGUUAAUUUUUAAUGUACUCAAUUCGGCG